rnacentral:snoRNA from 1 species
AAUCCAUGCUGUGGGCAUCUCUAAAUUAAUGUUUUAAAAUGCUCCCAAGCUUUUUGAAAACUUUCUCCUACCAAUUGAUUAAACAUUGCAAACUCUGUCCUUAGUUG